rnacentral:sRNA from 1 species
UAACAGAUAGACAUAUACCAUCGCGGAGU